AUAUGUUCGAUUAGGGGACGACAGAGACUCACUUGCAUGCAUUGCACGCGGCUGCCGUUCUGGACGGAGCUCAAUUGCUGGGAUUUUGAAGUGAAAAGGGUCGCUGACUUCAGUCCGGAAAAAGCCUUGACGGAGGAAGACUCGCGAGAGGCGGCCACAGAUGAUGACGCCACAGUCACAGAGACAGGAGCCACAACGGUUGAAGCCACAGCGGAGGCCAUUGCUAAAAUCUCUCCACACUCGAAUCGCAAGGGCAAUGCAGCCAACAGCUUAGGCACAGGGGACACCGAGCAAGACCUGGUGGGUACAAAUUCCACCCGGUAUGUUUAUACGCUAGGAAGUGCCGGGGCAUGCCCCGAGCUGAGCUCUGGAACGCUCCUUGUCACCCUAUCUUUACGACGUCGCUGCAUGCAAUCCUCACCACAAUUAAACAUUUUCAGUCAACAGAUAAGUCCUUUUUUGGGAUGAAAUUUUUUCGACCAGAAGCGGAGCCGUCCAGAGGAUAAUCCAGACCCCAUUAUUCUGGACUUCAACAGCACCUUAUCGAAAAAGAGCUCAAAACAUGACGCCGGUUGUCCGGAGAGUCUGAACACCAGUGCAGAGAAUCGUCAGUUUCCCGAUGCGUACCUUGAAACGGAUGUCGUCGAGAAAAGUGUGUGUAUGCGGAAGUUGGAGAAAACCCAGACUUCAUUGCUCGAUGAAGCAUGUAGCUUCGCAGUCGUACUUCUUGCACUCCUCCAUCUCUCGCAUCUCUUGCGCAUUGUGGUUCCCCAACACCUGCACAGCGGCGGUCAUGUCCGGAUUAGGGAUCGUCUACACCAGAUAAGCCACGGCGUUUUUCUCGGAGAAAAAUACCAUCCUUUGGUUCAACAACGGUUGCUGCGUUUUCCACGUUCGGAUACAACCCUGCCCAGUUGCUGUGAGAGAUUGACGAGUGCAAGAAGACCCUCUUUCCAUGUUCCAGACGCAGGCCUUCGCCGAACUGAGAUACAUCGCAAUCGACACACCGGCCGCUUCAGAAUCAGUGACUAGCAUACCCAGCUGCUAUUGGCUUCGUCGGCUACACGUCUGAGCUUGGUACUAGAGAUUAGCUAGAACAGAAGAGCUUUCUAAUCUGAAAAUGUUUUUCUGUGCAUGUAGGAAAGUUACUUCCUCCAGCGCGUGGAUACAACCCACCACAGCAUGUGCAGACAGUUGUUAGAUUUCGGCCAUGUCUUGCUGAUGCACACUUGUAUUUUAUAUUACUUUAUUUCUUUAUCUCUUCUCACUGUGUAUUCCAUGAACUCGUGCGCCCUCUCCAAUGACAUAGCUUUCGGUUGUUUCCAUCAGCGGUUGUAUCGCUAGUUUUUGAAAUACCAUUCUUCCUCGACGAGAUGGUAGCUUUGACGGAUGGUGGUGGCGCCGUAGACAAUACCUGUGGAUCUGUGUGUUUUUGUGUGCACAUACUCGAUCUCUUUCUCUGGUUUAUCACAUACUAACAAUGCUUUGUAUUGCGUGAUCGGCGUCGUAGUCGCCGUUGCUUGAAUCUCGCUUGUCAAGUUUUCUGCACACCCGAGUGGCUGGAAGCAUGUCCCCAUUCAUAUUCUAUGGGCAUGGUUGGAUUGCACCAGACUAACAGUGAGGAGAUAUACAAAGUACAUCACCAAGCCUGUAUGUGGUCAAAGUUCCACUUUCAUCAACAAGUAGAGUAUUAACGUUUGUUCAGAUAAGUUUUCUUCAAGAAAGAAAGAAAGCAUGCUUGUGUCUGCACAUGAAGCUCAUUGGAAAUUGGAGGGUUAAGUAGAUUUAAAAGAAUGGUUUUUGUGCUAAAUGGCACAACUUUGAGGUAGUCUAAUGAGAAGGAUUUAAGGUUGUAAGAAGGGUUAUGUUUUUUUAAUCUUGUUAUUUUUUAGCACUAUUUCAUUAAUAUAGUUUUUAUUAUGAAAACAAAUUGCAAUGUAUCUUUUCACUAAACAAAAUAAAAGAAAUCCUACUCAUAGUGCAAAGAGGACAAACAUUAAUUUAGAUACUCCAAAAUCUUGCAAAUAUUUCUUUUUGUCUUGACACAUCUAAAAUUGCACAUUUGGUCAAAUGUUUUGAUGGUGUUAGCUAUUUUUGGGAUAUUUUUCAUGAUAUGUAUCUAUUUUUUUUUAAAAAAUUUAUUGCAAGAUGUCUGAUUUUUAUUAUUAUUUAUUAGAAUAAUUGUUUCUACUUAAUAUAUGGAUUUAACUUAGAGGAUAUUAAAAUAAUAAUAUAUUGGUAUUUUGUUUUUAAAAAAUUAUAAUAAGAAAUUUAUAGAUUCUAAUUGGAGUUAUCUUACAUGCAUAUUUUAAAGUUUAAUAAUGUCAUCUUGCAAGUAUAGUUUUAAUGUAAAUGUUUAAGGACUUGUAUUGGAUAUGGAUUAAAAGGUGCUUUUAUUAAAUCAUGUAACUAUGAAUAUCAAAUUAUUAAACAUCCAUUUAAAAGAGUAAAAUUUUUACUUCAAAGUUUAUUAUAUCUAUAAGAUUUUAUAUAUGUUUGGAAAAUAUCUAACUAAUUAACUACAUUUUGAAUAGUAGUUUGGUGAGGAAAUUAAAGGUAUAGAUAAAGUUGUUCAAGUUGGUUAAAUGAAAAAAGUAGCAAUCAUUUGACCAAUUAUUUUUAAUUAGAAGUUAGCCAAACUCCAUAUAUCUAAGAUGGUCUUUGUUAUCACCACAUGGUUACUAAGCAAAGAAGUAAGAAAUAGCAACCAUUCUUAUUCUAUUGUACAAUGUAAUUAAGCUUUUAAGUCUCAAGGCUUAUCUAUAUGUUUCAAAUUUCACUCUUUUUAAUGGUUUAGUAAGAACUUUUGUUGGUUGUAUAUUGGUGUUAAUAUAAUUUAAUUUUUUUUUUUUUUUUUUUUUUUUUUUUUCUAAAUAUAACUUUACAAGUAUGAUGGUAGAGAAUUCUAUCUCCUUAGUUUUUUCUAUUAGUUGACUUUGUAAUUGUCAACUUGUCAUGGACAUGUAUUUAUUGUAAUUGUUAUUCAAGUAAUAUAAAAAGGUAGAAAUAGAUAAAAGUAGAUUAAUUUUAUAAUAUCUUCUAAAGAAGCUUCCUAGAAGCUUUAUAGAUGUUGCUUUGACUUUAUAUGUGUUUGUUGUUGAUUGGUAGGUUAGACACUUGGUCAGCAAGUUAAGCACGUGCCACACAUGUUGGUAGCUUGCGGAAAAGCUAACUAUAUGGCGCCCAUAUAAAAAACUUGCCUUAUAAGUCAAGAUAUGUGUUGUACAAAGUCAACACGUUUUGGAGGUCUUAUAGAAUUUCGCCAUGUAGCUCCUAGAUAGAUAAUAUAUAUAGAAGUAAGAAUGAAGUCUUCUUCAUUCUCGUCAAUUUCUUUCUUGCUUCUAGUUUAGUUUGAAGAAGUGUCUAGUUUUCUUGUAUUUUGGCAAUAGCAAUUCUAGUUUCUUUUUAAUAUACAUAUUUUUUUAUUUCUAUUUUUUCAUACUUCUUUGAAAAAGUCUCACUUGUAUAUUUGUUUUCUUUGAAUUCUUAUCUUUGAGAGAUUGACAAGAAUACACUUACAAUAUCAAAGUUUUGACUUUUCUUGAUUAAGAAUGGAUUAUCUUUUUAUCUUGAUAAGACAUAAGCAUAUUAGAUGUUGUGGAUUAUCCUCAUUUAAAUUUGAUAUUGUUUUUUUUGUUCUCAAGUUCUUUCUUUUAUUUAUCUUUAGCAAUAUUAGACAUCUCUUUUCUUCUAAGUAUUAUUAUAAUAGAGCUUGUCAAAAUGAAUAGUGCAAUGGUACAAAUGCUAGUAUAUUUAAGGGAGUUAAUCAAUGUAUAAUAUUGUAUGCUUCACAAUUUUGACAACUUAUGAUUGAUAUCAAGUGGGAUGAUGCUGCACUCAUUAGCCAAUUUCUUUAUGGAUUAUAAUAUGAGGUAAAGAAAUUGAUGGUCAAUUUACUUAAUCCUCAAACAUUGAGUCAAGUAAUUGAUUUUGCUUUGAAGAAUGACAAUCGACUUUUUAAAUUUUUAUUUGAAAAUUGCAUAAGUAGGCCUCAAUGUUAUUAUAUUCUAAUUGUUUAUAGUAUGUAAAAAUUGACUAAAAUAUAUGAUAUAUUUAUAAGUAUUGAUGUGUAUUAGAGUGGUUAAUAGGUUAAUUUAAAGAGAAUUGAUGUAAGAAAAUUUAUUUUGAAGUUUACUUAUUUUGAUUGUAAUAUUUAAAUUAUAUAAGAUUUAAAUAUUUAGUACAAAAUUUAAAGAAAAGAUUGGAGCUCAAAGAUGAAGAUGCAAACCUCUAAGAAGCUUAUUUGGAAGGAUGAAAGUAAAGUAUGGAUGGAUGAAGGUAAAGAAUGAGGAUCUUCAUCCCUAUUGGUCAAAAGCCAUGUCUUAUAGGCUCUGAAGAGGCUAUCUGCAAUGAUAACAAGGAUUUUGGCAACUUCAAAAAGAACAUUUGAGAAUUAAAAUCAAUGAUUGCACAAAGUUUAAAAGGUUUGGAAUUAAGGUGAUGAAGUUAUAGCCAUUUGAAGUUAAUGUGUCUUUUUAAGACAUAUUGUUACUCUUUUGAAAAUACAAGGAGUUAUACAAUAGAUUUUGAAGAUCAAGAAUGCAAUCAUAAGGGUGAUUUCAACAUUUACAUCUUUACAAAAGAAUUGUUAUAUUUGGAGUUUGUAUGAAGGAGUUAUAAAGCAUUGAAGACAAUACAUGUAAUUCAAAGGCAGUACAUGGAUCAUUUUGUUGAUAAUAAUAGUUGGAAGUAUACCUUGAGUUUUUGAACAAAUUUUUGGCUCAAAUUUUCUAAAGAUAUGUAUUAUUAGGUUGAAAAACUAUAAAUAAAUUUUUUUUAUGAUAUUUAAAUAUUUAGUUUGUGAGAUAUGAAGAAAAUUUCAUAGGGGCAUAUUCAAGCAAGGCUAUGAAGCUAUUGUUAGCAUUUUAGCAAUAUCUCAAGAUUUGUAAGAAAUUUGUAAUUAAACUUUUUUGUGAUAGCUUUUUAAAGUACAUCAAUACUUCAUGUAAAUUUUAAGUUUGUUUGGAUAGGUCGAUUGUGAGAUAUGAUCUAUUGAAGUUUGGAAAAAAUUCACCUUAGGAAUAUAUAAGGAUUUCGAAUAUUUUUAUUAUAUUUUGGAUUUUCUUUAGUACUAAGAAAUUAUGUAUUGAUGUAAUUACCUAUAUUGGAAUAAAUUUAUAUACGUAUAUAUAUAUAUAUAUAUAUAUAUAUAUAUAUAUAUAACUUGAUACUUUUCUAUCUUGAGACUUGAUUGAACAAUUAGAGAUAGCCAAAAGUCCAAUGCUUUUUUAAGACAAAUUCUCUCUAUCCAAACAUUAUUGGUGCUUCUUUUGAGAGAGCCUUAAGGCACCAAAUUUUUCAACAAGUCAAGAUGGGAAAUCAAAUCCCAAGGUUUGCUUUACCAAGUGGAAUAGGUACCCAUGAUUUAUUCAAGGUAUCUGCUAAAUUUAUAAAAGAGAGGCAACAAGUGCAUUGAAAGGAUAGAAACAACACCUAAGCUUUACAAGUAGUGAUGGAUAAGAUUGGAAGGUUUGAUGAGAGUGACAUCACUAAGUUCCUUAGGAUUUAUACAUGUAAAACAUAUGUGCAUCAAGUUUCAGAAUUGAAGAUGAUUACCAUCUUUGAUUUGGCAAUGAUACCAAAAAUUAGAGGGAAGAUGCAGGAGUUGCAUACUGAGGCAAUGUGAAGGAAGAAAUUUGAAGAACUCUUGAAAGAUAAAGUUUUUGAGGAAGAUUUAGAGAGAAUGAAAAAACAAAUCUUUUUGGAGUAGAUUGAGUAAAGGCCAAGAAAUCAAAUGGCUCCAAAUGAACUAAUCAUGGAAUUUGAGACUAAAUUUGGACAAUUGCCAACACAAGAGAGGUAGCUCUUGGAAACAAAAAAAUUGGAUUAUUCUUGUUGGCAACUGUUGAAUACUUAGAGGACAAGCUGCUCUUUUAUUUAGCAAACAAGAUAUCUGAGAGUAGUUUUAUCAAUAAGGUAUUUUAGUAAUAAAUAAUUAUUAUACUACAAUAUUUAUACUAUUGCAAUAAGAUGUUCUUAUAAUAAGUUAUUAUUAUAUUAAAAUAUUUAUAUUGUUACAAUAAAGUGUUAUUGUACUACAAUAUUUUUGUUAUUGUGCUAUGUUGCUAUUGUGCUAUAAUGCUUUAUUGCUUCAAUGUAUUGCUAUGAUGAGAUGUUGCUACAAUGCAAGGUUAUCAUCUUUGUGAUGGAUUGUUGGAAUAUUAUGAUGUUGCAUUCAAAUGCUUUUGUUGUUGUAAUGUAUUGCUAAAAUAUGUUGUUGCUAUGCAAUAAUGUCUUUGCUAUUGGAAUAUGUUGUAAUCAAAUAUUAAUACAUUGCAACAUUUUUGCUUUGAUAUUUUGCUAUUAUUCUUUUUGUUUUAUAUAUUAUUGAGUUGUAUUUUUCUUCAAUAAAAAUAUUUAAGAAAAUAAAUAGUUUUUUAUAGGUUAUGAUAGAAAAUAAAAGCAUGAUACACAAAGACAAUUUCUUGCUAUUGGAGCUUGAGUUGGAGUUGCAAUGAUUGAUGCGUACCUAAGCGUGUCAAUAGUCGCUUCUAUAGUUGCAAGAUUUAUAAGAAACAUCUUUAUAAGUUAAAAGAAAAGAAUCAAAGUAAUAUAUCCUUCUAUUUCAAGCUCAAGUUAAAUAGUGCUUAGUGAACAUGUACAAAAGUAGUCAAAGAUUGCACCACUAACUUUGUAUUGAUAUCUAGUAGUAUUGAAGGUGCAUAAAUCUCAUUGUUUCUAUAAAUUAUAAUUAUAAAUUAAAUAAUAUUAUUUAUGAUAUUAAAAGAUCUCUUAAGGAAUUUGUAUCCUUGAGGUAGGAAUUUGAUAAUAAUUUGUUAAAUAACUUAACAAUGGUUAUUAGAUGUAUUGGUGUUUUAUUUAAAUAUAAGUAAUAUAUUUUCUAUUAUAUUCUUUUUUUACUUAAUGGAUUUAAAGAGUUGGAAUGUUUUUUAGCAAUCUAACCAAGUUUAAUAAUUUACAAAUCAAAAUAUUUUAUCGAAGUUAUUUUUAUGUGAUAUGUAAAUCCAUUAAAAAAACACCUUCCUUAAUUGAAUGUUGUCAUAAUACCUUUUAACAUAGUUAGGCUAAAUGAUUAAUGUUAUCAUUAGUGAAUUUAUUGUAAGUCUUAUAAUACUCUAUAAGAUGGCUUUUUAAUGUUUUUUUGGUUUUAAAUUGAUGUUGUUUGAAUUUUUAUUGCUUUAUAAUAUUUUUAAUUUUUUUGAGGGAGAUUAGAAAUUAAUAUUUUAUAAUACUUGUUAAUUCAUACUUUUUUCUACUUCCAAUCUAGUAAUAACAAAGAAGUCUAAUAUUUCUACUAAAUUAAAACAUAGAAGUAACUACACUAAGAAAAGUUCAAAUCUGUUACUAAACAAAUAAGAAAGCUUUGAAAAUCUAUUGUAUUGUAUUAUUAUUUUACAAGGGGUGAUUUUAUUACAUUUAAAAGAUGUUGGACUUCUAUUUUGUAAGUAAAUUUUUCCUUUCAAAGUACCUUUCUAAUACAUUUUUGGUAAUUUUGAAAAAGAUUUCUGGUAUCUUUUUUUCCUUUUUCUUUUCUUCUAUUUUCUUUCAUUCAGCCACUCCCUUUCACAUUUCACAGUGGAAUAUGUGUUUCUAUUACUUCAUGUCUCAUGCCUUCCUGGGCACAUUAUCUCUUUUGUCUUCUGAUGUAAGAAAUUUCUCUAGUUGAGUAUCAACUCUUAAAAUCAUGCUUAUCUAAUCGAUUCGAUUUAUAUUAUAAAGUCAUUUGAUUUAAAAUACAUGUUUGCUUAUGCUGUGAUUGUUAAUCCUUGUGCAGGAAUCAGUAACAAAUAUGUGUGACUUGACAUUCCGAAUAUUAAGAAUAUCAAACAUUUGUUAUUUGACAGAUUUUCAGAAAAAGCUUUUCAAGUAUGUCAUUCCAUAAGUUUUAUUUUGUUCGGUCUACCUCUGAAAAGUGUGCAAAUCACCUGACUGUACACUUUCAGCAACUUAUGGGUUUGAACACAUUGACAAGUUCCAUAAGGGAACUGUACCAGUACGUCGUGCCUUUUCCUUGCUCAGGUGGUACAAUGACCUGUGUCGACAGACUUAUUGGCAAUCGCCAUGUAAAAACUAUUGACAUUGACAGACACAAAGUAAUGUGUUGCAGUGCGAAGACUCAACCUUCUUCUCGUAAUAACUGGUACUGGUUACUUCUCUCAAUUAACCACUGCGGUUUUACAGAAAGUCGAGGACUCUUAGUGACUUUCACAAAAAUACUCGUCUAUUAAAAUGAAAAUAACUACCAACAAAGAGCCCUCAUCAUGAAACUUUCAUUAUGUAUCAUACAACGCAAUUACCAAAUUCAAACUACAAUCAAACUAGUUACAUUACAAUCAACCGGGUUUCGUCAUAGAAGUUUCAUGCUUUCUCACGAAAAGCAACCAAGCUUAAUGGACAACAAUCAAGCUAGUUUACGACAAAAGCACCGAAAGAAUCUGAGAGGAUUGACCUGACGCAAUUGCUGCCGUUACAGAUGUUCAAGUGGACUUCGCUAUUCGUAUCGGAGAAACUCAGAAUAUCAAGCCAAGUGACAGAUAGAAGUCGCGGCUCAACACAACUAUACAAAAUAAACUUCAAACAUGAAAAAACCCAUUCUUUUGCUUCUGGGAUGUUCAAAGUGAACUCACAUACUCAAAUACAAGAGUUCGUUGCGAAGCACAUCCAGGCUACUUUGCCGUGUGAGCGACUGACUGUCAGUGCCUCACCAUCAAAGCUACUGCUACCCGACCCAGAACCAGAGAGCUCGACAAAUUCGUUCCCUAGUUGGGCCUGGCGACCAAGAACCCGCAGAUCUGCACCUGCUUCUUGCUGUCGAAGCCCAGCACGCGGACCCAGCAGCUAGGGUACGACGUCUUGCACUCCUGGAUCUCCCGCAGCACCUGCGAAGAGUCGGUGCACCCGAACAUGGGCAACUUCCACAUGGUCCAGUACCGCCCGUCGUAGUAGCCCGACGAGCCCGACCCCGAGAAGUUGGUGCGGCUCACGGCUCCGACCUGGACAAGUCACCCCAGCGCGUCAUCAGACCACAUUUGCACCGUGACCUCGAUGCCCGCGGAACCCACUCCGGACGACCACAUACCAAUGCCUCUGCCUUCGACAAUACUACUGUCUACUCGUGGGACGCCGGGAAGAGCACCGACUUACCGUGUCGAACUCGAUGCAGGGAAUCAAGUUCUGCUGGAUCAUGUAAUCCACCUGCCUCGCGAUCUGGUCAUCGCUCAGCGGGGGCAGGUACGAGAAGGUCUCGAACUUGGGCUGCCCGAUGGGGUUCCACACCUGCGCAAUCACAAAAUCGUACAACUCUUAAAAUUUCCGGAUGUCUCAUCUCGUGGAAAUCGACUAAUACGACCCCGAAUAUGUUCGAUUAGGGGACGACAGAGACUCACUUGCAUGCAUUGCACGCGGCUGCCGUUCUGGACGGAGCUCAAUUGCUGGGAUUUUGAAGUGAAAAG
rnacentral:lncRNA from 1 species